rnacentral:tRNA from 1 species
UCCCAGGUAGCUUAAUGCUAAAGCAUCCAACCGGGCAAUUGGGGGAUCUGGGUUCAAGUCCCGGUCUGGGCU